rnacentral:lncRNA from 1 species
AUGUGCAAGGCCCUUCAGGAUGCUGCCCUGACCACUGUUUUCAGUGCCACCUCCAUUAGGCACCUACUUCCCAGCCUCCCUGGUCCAUUUGUCAAAGUACCUUCUCACCACUGUCUUUUCUUUUCUAGAAUGCCCUUUCUGCUUCCUCGACUUAAUGAAAGGCAACUCGUUUUUCAAUUUGGGUCACCAAAUACCACCUUGCUUCGAAAUCUUCCCUCUCUCCCCUUCAGUUGAGAAAGGAGGCUGCCAAGAAGUCAGAACAAUGGAAGCUAAGCAAAGAUACAGAAUCAAUUUCUGAAGACCACGAGGGAAGAAGCUGAUGAAGACUCUAUGUAUAGUUAGAUAAUGGGACGUUUCAUCCCUGGAAAGAUAAUAUUAAUAACUGCUGGAGGAGGGGAGAACUGUGGAGCAAAGAAUCUUGAGGGUGAGCAGUGCUGCUCAAACCACCUGUGGCAAUAGAUCAGUUUUAAAUUUCCAAUCCAGGAGUUCCCGUCAUGGCGCAGUGGUUAACGAAUCCGACUAGGAACCAUGAGGUUGCGGGUUCGGUCCCUGCCCCUGCUCAGUGGGUUAACGAUCUGGCAUUGCCGUGAGCUGUGGUGUAGGUUGCAGACGCGGCUCAGAUCCCGCGUUGCUGUGGCUCUGGCGUAGGCCAGUGGCUACAGCUCCGAUUCGACCCCUAGCCUGGGAACCUCCAUAUGCCACGGGAACGGCCCCCCAAAAUAGCAAAAAGACAAAAAAUAAAAAAUAAAAAUAAAUAAAUAAAUUUCCA